rnacentral:rRNA from 1 species
UAACUGAAGAGUUUGAUCCUGGCUCAGAUUGAACGCUGGCGGCGUGCCUAACACAUGCAAGUCGAGCGGUAACAGGCGUAGCAAUACGUGCUGACGAGCGGCGAACGGGUGAGUAAUGCUUUGGAAUCUACCUAGUAGUGGGGAAUAACCAGUCGAAAGAUUGGCUAAUACCGCAUACGUCCGUGAGGAGAAAGCGG